CACCUUCAACUUGACCGGCAAAGGGUGUAGGACAGUGCCAGGAAGUGGCUUGGUGAGAAGAUCAGCCAGCUGAUGGGAAGUAGAGACAUGGGAGAGAGUAAUAAGCCCAGCAGCUAAGAGGUCUCGCACAAAAUGGCAAUCCACCUCGAUAUGCUUGGUCCGCUCAUGAAAGACAGGAUUUUUGGCAAUAUGGAUAGUAGCGUGGUUGUCACAGAAAACACAAAAGGGGAGAGAAACAGAAACACCAACGUCAGUGAGCAAACGGAAAAACCAAGACAGUUUAGCAACUACCUUACUGAGAGCCCUAUACUCAACUUCAGCAGAGGAAAAAGAAACUGCAGGUUGUUUCUUGGACUUCCAACUAAUUAAGCAUCCACCCAAAAGAACACAAAACCAGUCAUAGACCUGCGACUCUGGACAGGCAGCCCAAUCACUGUCAGAAUAAGCAUGUACAGAGAAAUCAGAACCGUCAGAAUAGAAGAGACCCAAAUGCAUAGUUCCCUUAAGAUAUCGGAGGACAUGUAAAGCAGCAGUCAUAUAAGGGACUCUAGGACACUUCAAAUAUUGACUCAGAUGCUGAACAACAAAGCAGAUUUCAGGCCUGGUGUGAGUCAAAAAUAAGAUCUUACCAACAAUGCUCCUAUAUUGAUUAGGAAGGAGAGGAUGACUCCAGAAUCAGCAUGGAGUUUGACAUUAAGAUCCAAAGGGCAAACAACAAGAGAAACGUUCAUGCAGUCAAACUGAUGCAAUAGGUCAGAAACAUAUUUAUGCUGGUUAAGGAGCAUCCCACCAGGAACAACAGACAUCUUAAUGCCCAAAAAAUAAUGCAAAGACCCAAGGUCUUUGAUCCUGAACUGAUCAUCCAGAAACAGCUUCAGGGCAGAAAACUCAUCAUUGUCAUCCCCAGUAAUAAUAAUGUAAUCCACAUAGACUGCCACAACAACCAGACAACCAGGUUGGACUUUGAUAAAAAGAGAAUAGUCAUUCAGAGAAUGAGCAUAGCCUCUGGAGUAGAGAGCAGAAGAUAGCUUAGCAUACAAUUGUCUGGAUGCCUGCCUCAACCCAUAUAGGGAUUUUUUUCAACUUACAGACAAGAGGAGGAGAUGCAGAGGAAACAUAAUCAGAAGAAGAGACAGAAACAGACAAACCUAGAGGGAGAUUCAUAUCGACCUCCUUAUCCAAAUCACCAUGAAAGAAAGCAUUGUUAACAUCAAGCUGGAAAAGUUUCCAAUGCUUCUUAACAGCCACUGCAAUAAGACACUUCACAGUGGACAUUUUANNNNNNNNNNNNNNNNNNNNNNNNNNNNNNNNNNNNNNNNNNNNNNNNNNNNNNNNNNNNNNNNNNNNNNNNNCUUCACAGUGGACAUUUUAACCACAGGAGAAAAAGUGUCAGUGAAAUCAACCCCUUCAAUUUGAGUAUCCCCUCUAAUAACAAGUCUAGCUUUGUAUCUUCCAACACUACCAUCAGCCUUAUAUUUGAUCUUAUAAACCCAUUUGCAGCCUAUGAUUUACUUACCAGAAGGAAGGAGAACAACAUCCCAGGUACAGUUUGCAUCCAAAGCAUCAAACUCCUUUCUCAUGGCAUCCUGCCACACUGGAACUGAUGCAGCUUCAGAGUAAUAAAUAGGUUCAGUCUCCAGAGGAGAAGAAGAAGACCCAGAGAAAGCAGGAAGAUGACAGACAUAAUCCUUAACGUAAGAAGGAGGAUUGUGCUGUCUUCUAGAUUUCCUGGGAACAGUAGCUGAUGUAGAAGAAGGCAAAGCAGGAGGGGAAAUGUCAUGGUUGAAAGGAGGACUGGAAAUUGGAUAGGAAGAAGGAGAAUCUGAAACAGAAUGUGAAGGUGGAGAGGAACAGAUGGGAAUAGAGAAAUCUGGCUCAGAAAGGGAAUGCUCAAGAGGAGGAACAAAAUGAAAAGAGGAUGGAGAAACAGAAGGAGUAGAGGUAACAGAAGAACAGAUUUAAAGGGAAAAGAAGUUUCAUGAAAGAUAACAUCCUUGGACACAAAGCACUUUUUGGAACUGAGAUCAUGCACUCUAUUACCCUUUUUAGCAAAAGGAUACCCCAGGAAGACACAUGAAAUGGCCCUAGGUUUUAACUUUUUUCUUUGAGGAAUUGGGACAGUGGCAUAGGCAAGGCAGCCAAAAGUCCUCAAAUGGGAGUAAGUGGGUGCCAUUCCAUGCAAGAUUUCAUAAGGGGAUUUUCCAUGAAGAAGCCUGGAGGGUAUUCUGUUAAUAAGGUAGGUAGGUAGCAGUCAAUAGGCAAUCUCCUUGGAAUGAGAUGGGUAAACCAGAUUGGAAGAGUAAAGCUCUACAAGUUUCAAGAAGGGUCCUAUGUUUUCCAUCAAUAACACCAUUCUGUUGAGAAGUGUGUGGGCAAGUGGUUUGGUGAAUAAUGCCAUGUUGACUAAAAAAGGAUGCACCAGCAAUACUAGACCUCAAUUCCAAAGCAUUGUCACUCAUAAUAGUUUGAACAACAGCAUUAAACUGGGUCUUAACCAUACAGAGGAAAGACUUAAGCAUGCAGAAAGCAUUAUUUUUAGACCCCAAUAAAUAUAUCCAGGUUGCUCUAGAAAAGUCAUCAACCAUUGUGAGAAAAUAUCUAGAGACAUAAGAGGUGGGAGUAUGAUAAGGGCCCCAGGUAUUUACAUGAAUCAAUUGGAAAGGUCUAGAUGUACUUGUUUUGCUUUCAGGAAAGGGAUCUAGUUUGCCUAGCAAUGGGACAAAUAGAACACUGAAAAGGCUGUUUAGAAGCAAAUGGAA
rnacentral:lncRNA from 1 species